AUUGAACGCUGGCGGCAUGCCUUACACAUGCAAGUCGAACGGUAACAGGUCUUCGGAUGCUGACGAGUGGCGAACGGGUGAGUAAUACAUCGGAACGUGCCUAGUAGUGGGGGAUAACUACUCGAAAGAGUGGCUAAUACCGCAUGAGAUCUACGGAUGAAAGCAGGGGAUCGCAAGACCUUGUGCUACUAGAGCGGCCGAUGGCAGAUUAGGUAGUUGGUGGGAUAAAAGCUUACCAAGCCGACGAUCUGUAGCUGGUCUGAGAGGACGAUCAGCCACACUGGGACUGAGACACGGCCCAGACUCCUACGGGAGGCAGCAGUGGGGAAUUUUGGACAAUGGGCGCAAGCCUGAUCCAGCAAUGCCGCGUGCAGGAUGAAGGCCUUCGGGUUGUAAACUGCUUUUGUACGGAACGAAAAGCCCCGGAUGAAUACCCUGGGGUCAUGACGGUACCGUAAGAAUAAGCACCGGCUAACUACGUGCCAGCCGCCGCGGUAA
rnacentral:rRNA from 1 species